CUGAUGUUUCAGACCCACACGAGUUAUCUCGGACUCACCAACAUGUACAGUCCCCAUUAUCUCUGAAUGUAUACGCCCACUUGUGCGUGCGCAAUCUGAAGCGUUUCAAACAUGCGCAGUACCGGAGGCAAAGGAGAGCCGGAGGAAUCGGAUGAGGAGCAGGCGCGAUAAGGAUUUGAAAGGUGAAAAUUAGAAUUCGAAUCAAUGUCAGCAGAGGAAUUUGGCAGAGUUGAACCUCAGACCAAACUGUGAAAGAGUAACUCGAUUGAUGAGGAUCUGAAUAUUAUCAGCAUCUGAAUGUGGUAGCGUUCAGGAAGUUGGAGCAUUUGCAGUGAGUGAACUCAAAUCUCACUGCAGAUUCUAACGGAAAUGUUGAAUUCAUCAUGUCUUGACUUUCAUGAGGCUUUGAUCAUGGAAGCCAAAACCAGUGUUCGCACUGAGAAACCAUGGAAAUGUGAGGAAUGUGAGAAGGAAUUCAAAUAUCCAUCUUCCCUGGAAAGUCAUCAGUGUGGUCACACUGGAGAGAGACCGUUCACCAGCCCUGACUGCGGAAAGGGAUUCAUUUGAUCACCCAGUCUGCUGACACACCAGCAAGUUCAUAUAAGAGAGAGGCAGUUCAUCUGCUCUGUGUGCGAAAGGAUUCACUCACUCAUCCCAUCUGCUGACUCACCAGCACGUUCACACUGGGGAGAGACCUUUAAAAUAUCCACACUCUAGGAAUUGCGAGAAAAGUUCGAGAGAACUAAUAUCUCACAUUAGUGAGAAACCAUUCAGGUGCUCUCACUGUGCGACUCGGUUCAAGCGAUCAUCUAAACUCCCAAUACACCAGCGCAUUUACACUGGGGAGAGACAGUUCAUCUAUUCCAUAUGUAGGAAGCAUUUCACUCACUCAUCUGACCUGGUGAAACACCAGAAAGUUCAUUCUAAUGAGAGACCUUUUCAAUGUUCAGACUGCAGGAAAUGCUGUAAAUGUUCUGGAGAACUGAUGUCCCAUCAACAUGUUCACACUGUUGAGAGCCCAAUAAGAUACUCUCAUGAUGGGGCUGGGUACAGAUGAAUAUGUAACCUCGCUGUACACCAAUGCAGCCACACAGGGGAGAUACCAUUCACUUGCUUCAUGUGCAGGAAGAGAUUCGUCAGAUCAUUGUACCUGCUGAAACACGAGCAAGUUCAUUCUGGCCAGAGAAUGUGGGAAAUGGUAUAAAGAUUCUGAACAAUUAGCCCCGUGAACUUGUUCACAUUAUUGAAAUAACUUUGAAUGUUCAGAUUGCAGAAAAUGCUUUAAAAGUUCUCAACAAUUGAUGAUCCAUCAAUGUGUUGACACAGGUGAGAGACCAUUCCAGUGCUUUCACUUACAAACUGGGUUAAGGUGAUCAUUUCACCUCAUUGUAUGCCAGUGAUGUCAGACUGGAGAGAGGUUGUUUGCCUGCAUUGAAUGUGGGAAGGGAUUCACUCAAACACCCGACCCCCUGAAACAUGAGUGAAUUCACAAAUAACCACAGUGGUUGCAUUUUGCUAUGAGUUAUGUUCGGUAAUGAACACAUUUCAUUGUUGUCUGUUUCUACUGAUGUUAAAUUGACUUUCCUGAAAAUAUAGGUUUUUAUUUUCUGGAUAAGCGUCAAAUAAAUUAGCUUUGUAUUUAACACAAAACUUACAUUUUGUUUUCAAAUGUCCCAAGCACAAGUUAGUUUCUUUUGGCCUUCUUAACGAGAGGAUUCAGAUACAGGAGCAGGAACGUCCUUCUGUGAUUCCACAGGUCUCAGUGAGCCCAUAGCUGGAUUCUUGUGUGCAAUUUUGGUCUCAUUAUUCUUAUGGAAGAAUGCUUUGGCUGUGAAGGGAGUACAGUGAAGGUUGACCAGAAUGAUUCCUGUGAUGACAGGACUGACAUGUGAAGAAAGACUGGAUCAGUUAGGACUAUAUUCACUCGUGUUCAGAAGAGUGGCCUUUUAUAGAAACAAAAGAAUUCUGACAGGGCCACACAGGAUAAACACAGGAAGGCUGUUCUCAAUAAACAGGGUGUCCAGAACCAUGGGUCAGACUUUUAGGAUAUGGGCAUACAUGGGAGCAUAAAGAUGGGAUCCUAGUGUCUCUUUAACCUGUCAUCGACAAGCUAUUUAGGACUGAGAUAAGAAGAAAUUUCCUCACCUCUGGAAUUAUCUGCCACAGAAAGCACCUGAAGCCAAAACAUUGAAUGUAUUUAAGAAGGAUUUGGAUAUAAUCCUUGGGGUGAAAGGGAUCAGAGUAUGGAGAGAAAGCAGGAACAGAUGGAUGAUCAGCCAUGAUCAUGUUAAAUGGUAGAGCAGGCUUGAAUGACCAAACGGCCGACCUCUAUUUUCUUUGUCAAUGGUUAUUAUUUUCCCUAAUACUUUUUCUCUUCUGAUCAUUAUUAUGGUUCUUUCCUCCCCUUUUUGCUGCUGAACUACUUAAUUUUUUUGUAAUGUUGUAAGUGUUCCCUACUGUGAAGAUUGAUUAAAAUUAUUUGUUUAACUCCCCUGCUCUUUGCUGGCUCCCCAUUAUCACUUACAAACCUCAUUCUCUAAGGGGCCGAUGUUCACAGUUCUCUUCUCUUUUUAGCUUUUGAAACACUUCAUUGACCACAGUAUGUUUUCUCCUGUUAUGGUUAUUUCCUCCCCUUUUUGCUGCUUGGCUAUUUUUGUGUAUUUUAAAGUUGCAAGAAUGCCCUGAAUGUGAAUAUUAUUGAAAAGUAUUUGUUUAACUCUCCUGCCCUUUCCUAGCUCCUCAAUGUUACCCUUUACAAAGCUCAUUUUAUAAGGGGCUGACGCUCACAGUUCUGUCCUCUCUUUAUUUAUUGAAAUAAUUAAUCAACCACAAUACACAUUGUUCCUCCAUAAUCAUCUAUAAGGCCUUGUGUGGUGGCAUUGUGAGAGAGGCCGAGCCACAACAAUGUACAACAGUUCAAUAAUGUCUAACUGUAUGCAAAAAAGGCAAGUUUCAUCAAAGCUUUUUGUCUUGCACAUUUCGGUUCAUUCACAAUAAGCACCAAUGGAAAGGGAACAAACGUUUUAUACUGUCAUGACCUGACUGGGCGAAUAAUAGACUCUGAUUGGUCAAGGCAUUACUAGGAAAAUGCACCAGUUAGAUGAUGACCAAACUUUGUUUAAAUUUCAUGCAGACAGAUUGACUCUGAUUUUUCAAAGCAUCACUGGAGACCUGAACUAAAGAAGGGCUGGCCCCUGUCUGGUUGAGUUGAAGGAGGUGUUAUUACUAUUAAUUGGGCACUAUUAAUAUUUGAGCACUGUAAGCACAAACUGGUUGGCUGUGGCUAAUGCGUUAUCUGUUGUGAAGAGACAAAAGGAAAUGCUGUUUGCCAAAAUCUCCCAACCUUUAGCUGGAGAUGAGGAAUGCUGCUGAAUGUGAUUGUUAAUAUUAUCUCCGAAGUGGAAAACAGGUGGACUGUUGCACUUAUAUAUCAAUUCCUGUGAAAGAUAAUGUGGGAACAUCAUGCUGGUAAGUUAGUUGCACAUAGUGAGGGGAUGGGCAGUGGGAGAAGACACAGUAAAUGUGUAGCCCGAAACAGAAUCUAAAAUACAUGCAUGAUUGGAGGCAGUGGAAGUUCGAUAAUGGCAGAGAGGUGAUCAAGGAAAGCAAGGGUCAUAAAGCCAUACAGAUGAACAGAGUUAUACAGAUUUACAGCACAGAAAGAGUGCCCUCCGCCCACCAGUGAAAGAGAGCAAUAGAUUAACAUGGAUUCAGAUCCCAAGCAAAGGUGUCACUCCAGAUGCAGAGACAUUGAACCUCUCCCAAAUAACACAGGACAACAAUAAAAUCCCUAAAUUAUUAAUGACUCAUUAAAAAAAUUUAGCCCUGAAACAGUCUUGUUGAUUACAAUAUUAAGAUCUGCUGGAAUCUGCAGCUGGAAAGAUUUCAAAAGUUCCGUGUCAGAGAAUAGUUUCAAAAUUAAGGAAAUCCCUUGGAAUCGGUUGAUGUAACUGAGGUUAAUCCGUGGAAAUUCUGUGAGUUAGUUUGUAAAAUCAAUCUCCAUCAGCCAUAGCGAGCCAUUCAGAAGAGAUAAUCAUUUCAAUUGAUUUGAGUUUUCCUGUGUGUACCAGCCACUCUGAGCUCUGAUAAAAGGUGUUUCAAAAAUCCAUCCGUCAGUCCAGGACAGAUGUUCACAACAUCCCCUCUUCAUAGCUCAGGAUGACUGACUAUCCUCCCUGCUGUACAAUAUCCCUCAGCGUGGCCAGCAGUCACUCAAUUUGAGGAUAGCGUCUCCUCAGGGCCAUAAGUUUCUAUCCUAGGUUUUCAUAUGAAUGAAUCAGGCAUCUCCAUCCACCCAACCAGACAAUUGGCCACUUGCUCUUGCUGCAAUCCUAAUGUGUCUGAAUGAAACCUAGAAACAAAACCCUGUUCAUUGCCAUUGAGAAAUCUGAAAGAACCACCUUGCUGUUGUACUCAAAGGCACUAAUAAUAAAACACAAUAUCGUAGGGUCUAAUAAAUUCUCAUUUAAUCUAUCCUUCUACAUUCAAUUGCUUAUGCACAUAUAUACCCAGGUCAUUCUAUCCUUGCCACCCCUUUAGAGAUGUACCCUUUAUUUUAUAUUGCUGAUGUACAUUCAUCCCAUCAAAAUGUAUGGCCUGACACUUCUCCACAUUGAAAUUCAUCCACCUCUGAUCCACACACCCCACUAACUUUACACAAGUUUCCAGAAAAUUAUGAGAGGCAUUGAUUGAAUGGAGAGUGAAGUAUUUUCUCAGGUGAAAAUGUCAAUUACUAUGGGACCUAAGUUUAAGGCAAAAGGGUGUAUGUUUAAAGGAGAUGUAAGAGGCAAGCGUUUAGACAGAGGGUUGUAAGUGCUUGGAAUACACUAGUAGAGGGGGUGGUAAAGCUGGAUAUGAGAGAUAGGUGAAUAGGCAGAGAAUAAAGUGAUAUGGAUUGCACAGAAACAAAAGGUUUUUAGUUUCGAAAGGCAUCAUGUAUCAGCACAGUCUUGGUGGCCCAAAGGGCCUGUUCCUUUGCUGUGUUGUUCUUCUUUGUACCAUUCUGCUCACAUUUUUCUCUGUUUCCGAAUCCUAACGUAUGCACAAAUAUUGAUCCUGUCCCCUGUAGUCCUAUGUUUAGAGCAUUAAUAUAUAUUUGGAAAACACAAGGGUCUCAACAUUGCCACCGAGGGAAUUUCAAUAGAUUCAUUCAACUAUCCCAAAAAAUAUUCAAAGCCACUGUUGUAUUUCCUUUCUCUCAGCCAAUUUUGUACAUGGAUUGUUAUUGUAGUUAUUUUCCCCAAAUACAUAAAUUCACGGGUCAGCUCAAUAACAUUGAAUCACAUACUUUCUGGAAGUCUUGGACAAACAUGAACUGUAUUCCUCUGAUCAACCCCAUAUUUCACACGUUGAAAAGAAAACGUAGGUCAUUAACAGCAAGUUAACUAACAUCAUGUCUCCUGGAGAAAUGUAUGGCAACUUGCCAUGAAUUGACUGAUCUUUGCCCAUGUAACUCUUCAUUUUGCCUUCACCGUUGCGUCUACAAGUUUCCAAGCACCCAAAGUAAAUUGGCUUGUCUGUAACAGUUGGAUAUAUUCUUGCAACUUCUGUUUAACAAAUGACUAAACUUUGCAAUUUCCCUGUAUUCCAGCACUACUCUCGAUAAACUUACAAAUUCAGCAAAGUUUCUGGUCGCCUCGAGCAGACUUUGAAAGUAGACAUGGAGACCCCCAGUGAGACAGUUCUCAUUCUUCCAUGUGGCUCACGAUCUCAGAAGAUACCCAUUUUUGAAAAGCCUGAUUGGUAUUUUCUUGCUGCUGAAUACCAUGGGAUUGUUACAGCUCCACUUGUCUCACGUUCAAAGCCAUUUUCAAAACUUAAACACAAGCACAAGACUGAUGAAUGUAGAAGGAGUAAUGUGCACUGAGCAUAUUCAUCUAACUAGUACAUGGGAGCAUAAAGAUGAGAUCCUUGUGCCUCUCUAACCUGUCAUCGACAACCCCAUCACGUUGUAACACCUUGUGUCUUAUGUUCCUCCUGCUCGCUUUCCAGGUAAACAUUGGAUUUGCCAUUGGCCUGCAUUGGCAUUGAGCACUAAUUGACAUUGGAUCUGGCUGGGCUGAGGGAGGUGAAGGUGAGACAGGGCCAGAAGCAAAAAGAGAUGCAAAAUCGGAGUGUUGUGAAUCAGUUGAUUUCAGUGGGGACCGAGUGCUGUGAGUUGCAGCCUGAGUUUCCCAGGAGUUACAGUGAUUGGGCUAGUGUUUUUUUUAAAAUUGAACAUUUUCCUCAAGCAUGGAUUCCUUUUUGUAAACCAUGCUGACUCUGCCUGGAUCCGAUCUGAUCUGUACCACUCAUAAACAAAAUAUUUUACUGUAUUUCAGUACAUGUGACAACAAAUCAAUCUAUGCAUCCCUCUGUUUCCCUCUCGGUCUGUCUGUUGAUCUCUCUCUGUGUCGGUUCUACACUUUUUCCUUUCCCUGUGAACCAUCCACACUAUUCUCCAAGAGCAAAAGCCUGUAAGCCCAUCCCCAUUCUGUUAAGCUAGCAAUGGCCUGUCAACACAUCUCCACUGUUCUCCUACCAAUGACCUGUGAACACGUCUGCAUUCCCUUCUUCUUGCAACAACUUAUUAACACAUGACCAGUCUUUUCUUGUAGCUACAGCAUGUGAAACAUUCCCAAUCUG